UACGUAGGGGGCAAGCGUUGUCCGGAAUCAUUGGGCGUAAAGCGCGUGUAGGCGGUCCGGUAAGUCCGUUGUGAAAGUCGGGGGCUCAACCCUCGGAUGCCGGUGGAUACUGUCGGGCUUGAGUACGGAAGAGGCGAGUGGAAUUCCUGGUGUAGCGGUGAAAUGCGCAGAUAUCAGGAGGAACACCAAUUGCGAAGGCAGCUCGCUGGGACGUUACUGACGCUGAGACGCGAAAGCGUGGGGAGCAAACAGG
rnacentral:rRNA from 1 species